GCUCUAGUGGCGAACGGGUGAGUAACACGUAAGGAACUUGCCCCAAAGACGAGGAUAACCAUGGGAAACCGUGGCUAAUACUGGAUAGUAUAUAGAUUCGCAUGAAUUUAUAUUUAAAGACGCGUUCGCGUCACUUUGGGAGAGCCUUGCGCAGCAUUAGCUAGUUGGUAGGGUAAAGGCCUACCAAGGCGACGAUGCUUAGCUGGACUGAGAGGUUGAACAGCCACACUGGGACUGAGACACGGCCCAGACUCCUAUGGGAGGCAGCAGUAGGGAAUUUUCGGCAAUGGGCGAAAGCCUGACCGAGCAAUGCCGCGUGAACGAUGAAGGCCUUCGGGUCGUAAAGUUCUGUUGUUAAGGAAGAACAGUCAGAAGAGGAAAUGCUUUUGAUUUGACGGUACUUAACCAGAAAGCUCCGGCUAACUACGUGCCAGCAGCCGCGGUAAUACGUAGGGAGCGAGCGUUAUCCGGAAUUAUUGGGCGUAAAGCGUGCGUAGGCGGCGUGUUAAGUCGAAUGUGAAAGCCCACAGCUUAACUGUGGAGGGUCAUUCGAAACUGGCAUGCUAGAGUACGGCAGAGGUUAGUGGAAUUCAAUGUGUAGCGGUAAAAUGCGUAGAUAUAUUGAGGAACACCGAUGGCGAAGGCAGCUAACUGGACCGGAACUGACGCUGAGGCACGAAAGCGUGGGGAGCAAACAGGA
rnacentral:rRNA from 1 species